AAUCAACGCUGGCGGCGUGCCUAACACAUGCAAGUCGAACGAGAAAGUGGAGCAAUCCAUGAGUACAGUGGCGACCGGGUGAGUAACACGUGACUAACCUACCCUCGAGUGGGGGAUAACUCCGGGAAACCGGGGCUAAUACCGCAUAACAUCGCGAGGUGAAAUUCCUUGUGAUCAAAGGAGCAAUUCGCUUGAAGAGGGAGUCGCGUCUGAUUAGCUAGUUGGGGAGGUAACGGCCCACCAAGGCAAUGAUCAGUAGCCGGCCUGAGAGGGCGCACGGCCACACUGGAACUGAAACACGGUCCAGACUCCUACGGGAGGCAGCAGUGGGGAAUUUUGCGCAAUGGGGGAAACCCUGACGCAGCAACGCCGCGUGGAGGAUGAAGUCCUUUGGGAUGUAAACUCCUUUCGACCGGGAAGAUUAUGACGGUACCGGAGGAAGAAGCACCGGCUAACUCUGUGCCAGCCGCCGCAGUAAAAC
rnacentral:rRNA from 1 species